rnacentral:rRNA from 1 species
UACGUAGGGUGCGAGCGUUGUUCGGAAUUACUGGGCGUAAAGGGCUCGUAGGCGGCCAACUAAGUCAGACGUGAAAUCCCUCGGCUUAACCGGGGAACUGCGUCUGAUACUGGUUGGCUUGAAUCCGGGAGAGGGAUGUGGAAUUCCAGGUGUAGCGGUGAAAUGCGUAGAUAUCUGGAGGAACACCGGUGGCGAAGGCGGCAUCCUGGACCGGUAUUGACGCUGAGGAGCGAAAGCCAGGGGAGCAAACGGG